GCAGGUGGAGGAACUCAGCCAUCCCGGUUACCGGUGGCAGGAUGAUUUCCUUUCAUCCCAACCUUUAUUUCCACAGUGAAAUCAUCAUGAAGGAGCACUGUGUUGGCAUCCUCGCUUCAAAGGAUUCCUCUGCCUGCUGAUGCUGCUUUUCCCCCACAUGAGGAGAACAUGCAGACAGUUAUAAAAAAUUCUGUGCCUGGGGUACUCUCGCUCUGUAGACCAGGCUGGAGCGCAGUGGCAGGAUCUCAGCUCAACACAUCCUCCGCCUCCCAGGUUCAGCCUCUGCAGUAGCUGGGAUUACAAGCAUGCAUCACCACGCUCAGCUAAUGUUUUGUAUUUUUAGUAGAAGCCAGGCUUCACCAUGUUGGCCAGGCUGCUCUCCUACUACAG
rnacentral:lncRNA from 10 species